rnacentral:lncRNA from 1 species
GCGGCACGGCGAAGACGAUGACGGGGUCGACGAGGCUCAUGGACGGUGGGAUCCUUGCCUAGGACGACGCGAAGGCGGCGGGCGGCGGCGGAGCUUCGGUUCGAUGACGCCGGUGAGCUGCGGUGCGCAAAAGAAGAAGGGAACCGUGUCACGACGUGCGCGAGAGAGAGAGGAGUAGGGGGGUGCAAUUGGCAGCGAGAUUGACUCACCCGUUCGUCAGCAGCGACCAAGAAUCGCGGCGGCGUCCCCGCGGCUCGGGCGACCAAUGUCGUCGGUGUGGGCGCAUGCGAGAGGGGGCGAGCAGAGGGGAAGAAGAGAGGAGGGGCGGGGCUUUAUAGGGGCGCUCUCGGUUUGCUUCGGGAAGGCCGGGAUCAACGGGGCGGCGAUGGCGGCACUUUUCAUCCAGGUGGCCCCCCCCUCUCAGUGGCUGCGGGCGCGCGCACGUAGCGGGGCCGGCUCGGCCCGGUUUGGGUGCGGGCGAAGCGGCGCCGGUUAGGCCCAUUUGGCCGGGCCGGUCCGGUUUCUUCCUUUUUUUUUUCUUUUAGCCUUUUCUUUUUCCUUUUUUCUCAUUUCUUUGAUGUCUUUUGAUUUUGAACUCCAAAUUAGCCCAAAUAAAUUCCCGAAAAUUUGUAAAAUCAUGUUCUAUCAUGAUUCAACUUUUGGGAGUAAUUUCCCCUCAAAAUAAAAUAUCUAAAAACACAUUUGCCCUAUAAAUGCCUUUAGGGUUAUAACUAUUUAAAUAAAGCAGUUUUUCAACUCCAAAUAAUUAUCCAAAAAUUAUAGGAUAGCUUAUUUAUGCAAUAAAACCCAUUUAUAGUUAAACCCUAUUGGUUUGAAGAUCCAAAGCUCAAAUGGGUGAAAACCUAGGGUUUAUAUUGAAAUAAAAUCUUUUAAAGCCUU